AACAAAAUUUCACAUUUUCCAGAAAUCAACCCCUUAAACCCUAAACCCUAGAUUAGUGAAUCAGGUAUAUGACAUUAUUGCAGCAAAAAAUAAUAACAAAAAUUAUUGGCACAAUUUCUCAUAACAAAAUUUCACAUUUUCCAGAAAUCAACACCUUAAACCCUAAACCCUAGAUUAGUGAAUCAGGUAUAUGACAUUAUUAGCGGCCAUACCAAACCCUAACUUGGAUUAACAGCGACUAAAUUUCCAAGCAAAACAGCCCAAAUCCAACAAAGUAAAAAAAUGGAGGGCAAAGUGGAAUCCCUCUGGGAGGAAGUGAGGGAGCUCACCCUAGGAACCACCGUGGACCGCCUUCAGUCGCCGCCCACACCUCUGCAGUUCCUCAGGGACUUCGUUUCCCAAAACAAGCCCUGCAUAAUCUCCAAUGCCAUCCCUCACUGGCCAGCCCUUUCUCUUUGGUCCACCCCUUCUUACCUCUCCACCGCCCUCUCCUCCUCUCUCGUCUCCCUCCACCUCACCCCCGACGGCCAGGCCGAUGCCCUUGUCCCUCACCCUUCGCAGUCUUCCCUCUGUUUCGUCUCAGCCCACGUCCAACCCACCCUUUUCCCUCAAGCCCUUGACCUCAUUCGCCGACCCCCCAACCAUUUGGUGGCAUAUUUACAGCAGCAAAACGACUGCUUCAGGACUGAGUACAGUGAGCUCAAGUCCGAUUGCGAUGCCCAUAUUCCAUGGGCUUCCGAAGCCUUAGGUUGCCUACCUGAAGCCGUCAAUCUCUGGAUCGGAAAUCAUCUCUCCCAGACUUCUUUCCACAAAGACCAUUACGAGAAUCUCUACGCCGUCGUUUCCGGCGAGAAGCACUUUUUGCUCCUCCCCCCAACCGACGUUCACCGCAUGUAUAUUAAGGAGUACCCAGCAGCUCGAUACUCCUAUUCCCAGGAGAAUGGGGAGUUUCGUUUAGAAUUCGAAGAACCGGAGAGAUAUGUGCCAUGGUCUAGUGUGGAUCCUUGUCCUGCAAGGGCGAGUUUGAAGCAGGAGAGCUUGAAAUUCCCAUUGUAUUUUAACGGGCCUAAGCCAUUUGAGGUUACUGUCAAAGCUGGAGAAGUUCUUUACUUGCCGAGUAUGUGGUUUCAUCAUGUUAGACAGAGUCCUGGAGACGGAGGAUGCACUAUCGCUGUUAAUUACUGGUACGAUAUGCAGUUCGAUAUCAAGUAUGCAUACUUCAACUUCUUGCAGUCGCUUCCUUGCCGAUCAAUCGAUGAUCAGACGAUACCGGAGGGUGAUUUUGAGGAUGAUUCAGGACCUCAUGCUUCCUCCAACCAUUUAAACAGUAGAUUUUCUGGUGAUGAAUCUGCAACAAACAAUGUGGAGAUCCAUAAAGACCGUGAUAAUGUACAAGUACAUGAACGAACUUUCGUUCUUGAUAGUUCUAUGUUUGUGUGAUUCUUUUGAGGCAGGGAACUCAAGAAAAUGUCAAUGACUGCGAGGGCUGCUGCCGGAUGUCAACGUCACCGAAAUUUUCAUGGUCUAGAGAGAACUGUUGUCUUCUACCUGGAAAUGAAAGCAACAGUAAUGACCCUUUGAACAUUUUUGGUGUGGUGUUGUGAAGUGAUCAAUAGACAUAUGGUUCAGGCCGUGAUCUAAUAGUAAGGAAUGAGGCAGCAAUUCUUGGGAUUUAAAUUUCAUAUUUGUUGAAUAUCAGAGAUGAUGAUAUGAACCAGUUGGACUAAUUCUAGAAUGAGGCAGCAAUCCUGGCUACGUAGGAGAAGAAGGGACGCUUAGUCAGAGAUAAUCUC